rnacentral:rRNA from 1 species
UAGGUUAAUGAGGCGAACCGGGGGAACUGAAACAUCUAAGUACCCCGAGGAAAAGAAAUCAACCGAGAUUCCCCCAGUAGCGGCGAGCGAACGGGGAGGAGCCCAGAGCCUGAAUCAGCAUGUGUGUUAGUGGAAGCGUCUGGAAAGGCGCGCGAUACAGGGUGACAGCCCCGUACACAAAAGCGCAUGUGCUGUGAGCUCGAUGAGUAGGGCGGGACACGUGGUAUCCUGUCUGAAUAUGGGGGGACCAUCCUCCAAGGCUAAAUACUCCUGACUGACCGAUAGUGAACCAGUACCGUGAGGGAAAGGCGAAAAGAACCCCGGCGAGGGGAGUGAAAAAGAACCUGAAACCGUGUACGUACAAGCAGUGGGAGCACCCUUCGGGGUGUGACUGCGUACCUUUUGUAUAAUGGGUCAGCGACUUAUAUUCUGUAGCAAGGUUAACCGUAUAGGGGAGCCGGAGGGAAACCGAGUCUUAACCGGGCGUUAAGUUGCAGGGUAUAGACCCGAAACCCGGUGAUCUAGCCAUGGGCAGGUUGAAGGUUGGGUAACACUAACUGGAGGACCGAACCGACUAAUGUUGAAAAAUUAGCGGAUGACCUGUGGCUGGGGGUGAAAGGCCAAUCAAACCGGGAGAUAGCUGGUUCUCCCCGAAAGCUAUUUAGGUAGCGCCUCGUGAAUUCAUCUCCGGGGGUAGAGCACUGUUUCGGCUAGGGGGCCAUCCCGGCUUACCAACCCGAUGCAAACUGCGAAUACCGGAGAAUGUUAUCACGGGAGACACACGGCGGGUGCUAACGUCCGUCGUGAAGAGGGAAACAACCCAGACCGCCAGCUAAGGUCCCAAAGUCAUGGUUAAGUGGGAAACGAUGUGGGAAGGCCCAGACAGCCAGGAUGUUGGCUUAGAAGCAGCCAUCAUUUAAAGAAAGCGUAAUAGCUCACUGGUCGAGUCGGCCUGCGCGGAAGAUGUAACGGGGCUAAACCAUGCACCGAAGCUGCGGCAGCGACGCUGAUGCGUUGUUGGGUAGGGGAGCGUUCUGUAAGCCUGCGAAGGUGACCUGUGAGGGUUGCUGGAGGUAUCAGAAGUGCGAAUGCUGACAUAAGUAACGAUAAAGCGGGUGAAAAGCCCGCUCGCCGGAAGACCAAGGGUUCCUGUCCAACGUUAAUCGGGGCAGGGUGAGUCGACCCCUAAGGCGAGGCCGAAAGGCGUAGUCGAUGGGAAACGGGUUAAUAUUCCCGUACUUGGUGUUACUGCGAAGGGGGGACGGAGAAGGCUAUGUUGGCCGGGCGACGGUUGUCCCGGUUUAAGCGUGUAGGUGUGUGUUCCAGGUAAAUCCGGUUCACUUUAACACUGAGGCGUGACGACGAGGCACUACGGUGCUGAAGCAACAAAUGCCCUGCUUCCAGGAAAAGCCUCUAAGCAUCAGGUAACACGAAAUCGUACCCCAAACCGACACAGGUGGUCAGGUAGAGAAUACCAAGGCGCUUGAGAGAACUCGGGUGAAGGAACUAGGCAAAAUGGUGCCGUAACUUCGGGAGAAGGCACGCUGACACGUAGGUGAAGUGAUUUACUCAUGGAGCUGAAGUCAGUCGAAGAUACCAGCUGGCUGCAACUGUUUAUUAAAAACACAGCACUGUGCAAACACGAAAGUGGACGUAUACGGUGUGACGCCUGCCCGGUGCCGGAAGGUUAAUUGAUGGGGUCAGCGCAAGCGAAGCUCCUGAUCGAAGCCCCGGUAAACGGCGGCCGUAACUAUAACGGUCCUAAGGUAGCGAAAUUCCUUGUCGGGUAAGUUCCGACCUGCACGAAUGGCGUAAUGAUGGCCAGGCUGUCUCCACCCGAGACUCAGUGAAAUUGAACUCGCUGUGAAGAUGCAGUGUACCCGCGGCAAGACGGAAAGACCCCGUGAACCUUUACUAUAGCUUGACACUGAACAUUGAGCCUUGAUGUGUAGGAUAGGUGGGAGGCUUUGAAGUGUGGACGCCAGUCUGCAUGGAGCCGACCUUGAAAUACCACCCUUUAAUGUUUGAUGUUCUAACGUGGACCCGUAAUCCGGGUUGCGGACAGUGUCUGGUGGGUAGUUUGACUGGGGCGGUCUCCUCCUAAAGAGUAACGGAGGAGCACGAAGGUUGGCUAAUCCUGGUCGGACAUCAGGAGGUUAGUGCAAUGGCAUAAGCCAGCUUGACUGCGAGCGUGACGGCGCGAGCAGGUGCGAAAGCAGGUCAUAGUGAUCCGGUGGUUCUGAAUGGAAGGGCCAUCGCUCAACGGAUAAAAGGUACUCCGGGGAUAACAGGCUGAUACCGCCCAAGAGUUCAUAUCGACGGCGGUGUUUGGCACCUCGAUGUCGGCUCAUCACAUCCUGGGGCUGAAGUAGGUCCCAAGGGUAUGGCUGUUCGCCAUUUAAAGUGGUACGCGAGCUGGGUUUAGAACGUCGUGAGACAGUUCGGUCCCUAUCUGCCGUGGGCGCUGGAGAACUGAGGGGGGCUGCUCCUAGUACGAGAGGACCGGAGUGGACGCAUCACUGGUGUUCGGGUUGUCAUGCCAAUGGCACUGCCCGGUAGCUAAAUGCGGAAGAGAUAAGUGCUGAAAGCAUCUAAGCACGAAACUUGCCCCGAGAUGAGUUCUCCCUGAGACUUAGAGUCUCCUGAAGGAACGUUGAAGACGACGACGUUGAUAGGCCGGGUGUGUAAGCGCAGCGAUGCGUUGAGCUAACCGGUACUAAUGAACCGUGAGGCUUAACCUU